GAGCGGCAAGGACACGCGUGCAGUGCCUGCGAACAGUUCCAAAAAGUGACUAACAAAAGUGAGGCUCAGCGCUUAAAUGGCCUAAAGCCAAUUACGAGUGUCAAAAAAAAAAAAAAAACAACAACAAAGAAUACAAUUAAAAAAAACAAAAAUAAACAAAGAAAAACGUAAAUAUAUAUAACUCAGAGCAAAUGCUGGCCACAUGCUAAAUGCGUGUGUGUGCGAUUUAGAUAGCUGCAAACCGAAAUUUAUGACUCUGCUCUGUUCAAAUAGAACAUUCAAUUUAAAUGCAAGCUGCAUCAAACUGUAGUGCUUCAACUGUGAAAACAAACCGAGGAACAAAAUAAAUUAAAGUCCAAAGAAAACAAACAAAAAGCAACGAACGCUGUAGCAAGCCAAAACAAACCGAAAAGCAAAACAAAAGCGUAAAGCGCAAAGCGAAAUUUAAACGUCUGUAUAUUAAUCAGUGGCUGUCGCCCCGUGGACAGCCUCAGCUUCGAGCUUCGCUCUUCAAGCCUCAAGCUUCCUGCUGGACACCAGGACAACUUAUCACCGAGGAUUUGGAAGCGGCGAGUGCAAAGCCGCUUAGAGGCGAGGGACGUCGCUGCGCUGGCCCCCAAAGGAAAACGCUAAUCAACGGCCACAGCGACCAGACGACAGACACAGCUUCUGCUACUGGCCACGCCCCCUUUAGCUGUACCAACAGCAGCAGCUAGAAGAAGCAGCUCAAACAUCGCCUCAUUUGGCCACUGCGGAUUAUGUUAAUUAGAUUUUAAGCACGCGAUGAUGCCAGGGGAACAAUCAACGUUGUAAUGCGACAACAGACAACUGCAACAACAACAACACCAACAAAAGCUAAGGCAACGAUGCGCGAUUUUUAAUUGACAUUUGUUGAAGUUGAGCAGCGUUUUGUGCAGCAAUUAGCCAAAAAAAAAAAAAAAAAGACCGAGGUGAAACA